CGGCAGCAGCGCCAAGACCUGCACCAGCACCGAGUCGGGCAGGGGCGGCCGCGCCGCCAUCGCGGCCGUUACUACAACAAAGCCCUCAGCCCCGGCCCGCCCCGGCGGCACGGCCAGGGCGCGGCCUCCGAGCUACCGCAGGCCAUUACAGGAUGGGAACAGCUGUCCUCACCCUCAGACAAAAGCCUGGAAUAUCUGCAGUGCAUAGAUACAACCCGGGAAGAAGAGAAUACAAAGUAAUAAAUUCAACUCUGACCUCAGGAGGAUGCUUGAGCAGGGCUUUCAGGCAAAGAUAUCAGAAAAGGAAUACCAGUUCUUCACUAAUAUAAAUAUAUAUAAAACAAGGCAAACAAACACCAACGGCAGCACCAGCAAACCAAACCCAAACCCUCACGGGCCUUUCCCCUUCGCUGCAGUUCCGGGCACGGCCGCCAGGGGCGCCGCUGGCUCCUGGCCAGGCAGGGGUGCGGUGAUUCCCCCACGCCUGCAGGGGGCGCUGUGCCGCCGGCCCGGCCGCCUCCCUCAUGGCAGCUCUGCUGAGGCCACAGAGAGAGCAAAGGAGCUUGGCUUUGGAAAACCACAGGGCACAGCUGGUCCCGGUGCCCUCCGGAUGGCAAAGCAGGAUGUAGCAGCAAAGCCUGGAACGGCAGAUGUUGGAACCCAGGAAAUUCCUCUGGCUGCCCUGGAGGGCUCCAGCCCCUUGUCCAGGGGGCUCAGAGACCUUGGCACAGAGCCCAAGACCCCUGUGCCUUUGAUUUAGCCCUUGGAAAAAACAAUUACCAACCUUAUAUGAAGAAUUACAAGCCACGAAAAUUUAAGUAGAAUGAUAAUGAAUUUAUCACAGCGUGAAAAAUAGAUUUUUGGGGGUUUUUAGAAUGGGGGUUUAGGGGGCAAGAUGGAGGAAUCUGGGCAUGUCCAGCCUUUCUCCUUCUUCUUCUUCUUGGCCUCCAUCUUCUGCUGUGAUGUUGGCCCUUUUAGAUUGGUUUAGAGUAGAAGCUCACUGCCUAACAUAGGUGACAGGUAUUGGGAAGUAAUUGUAAAUAUUGUACAUGUAGAUUUUAGUAUAAAAAGAUAACACUGCCUCUGAGGUGGGCAGAGUGCCUCAACCUGACCUGCUAGACAGACCUCGGUGGGUUGGAGAAAGAAUUUUUUAGAUAAGAAACAAUAAACAACCUUGAGACCAAGAACAGAA